GGUCAUUAUUUAUGGCGGGGGGUGGCACCGAAGAGAAAAAGGUUGGGUAAUCAAAAUUUUGAGUAACUAAAAGGUUGGGUAAAUGAAAAACAAAACAACUCAAGGGUUGGGUAAUAAAAAUUUAUUGUCAUUUCCAAAGCAUGACCCACUGAAGUAUUGGAGACUGAAAAGCAAUGUCAACAGUCAUUUGUCAAUACAAUACGUGAAUCAAUCAGAGUCACUAUCUUGGUCAUUUUGACAAAACAAAUGGUGUUUCCAAAGAAAGUGAAUGUGCAGACAACAUGAAACUUUAGACUGCAGAAAAGUUCACAAGCCGUUAUCAAACUCAUGUCAUAGAAGUGGUAAAAGACAUGUGUGACAACUGAAUGGUAUCCUUUUGUAAAGUUUUUGACCAGGGAUGGAUAAUUAUUUUUCAAUUUAUAUUUGAGGUUGGGUAAUCAAUUUUUUGUCUUUUUAAUGGUUGGGUCAGCAAAAUUUUUGCCACGAAAAACAUUUCUCUUCGGUGCCACCCUCCACCAUAAAUAAUGACCGGUCCCUUAAAGCCACUGCACGUGACAUAUUAUAGUUGACAUGAUUUGCCAUGUUUGAAUGUAUAAUAAAACAAUUAUUGGAUUCGGCUUUCGCUUUGCUUUCGCAUGAUAUCAAGAAUUAUUCAGACCUCGGUCUAUGUUAUCCGCCUCAGCUUCGCUUCGGCAGAUAACAUUGACCUCGGUCUGAAUAAUUCUUCAUGCUCAGCCUCAUCCAAUAAUUGCUUAUUAUUAUAUGGCUUUGCAGAAUCCUGGAUUCUGAUUGGUCGACGUGCGUAUCCGGACCGUGGUCCGUAUUUUCCCGUAUCCGGACCGGUUUCAAUUUGACAGGCUCGAAUUUGAAACGUUUUUACACGUUUAUGAGGUCGUUAUGUUGAAGAAAAAGUAUCCUUGUAUCAUUUUUAAGAAUAAGAAGUCUUGGAAAUAUUAAUAAGUACUUGUACCAACACAAAUUUCAUCGAAAAAGCUAAGAAAACAAGCCGUUUGAACUCUUACUGGCAACCGUAAGUUUUGGCGGGAAAAUUUUUUGAUUUGUUUACUUGUUUCAAAAAAUAAAUAAAGAUGAAUUUAACGUCUUUAAUACCAUAUUCUAAACAAAUAUCAUAUAAACUGGGUUAUAAGCAUUUUUUCUGGGGGUGGGGGUUACCGAAAAAGUAGUUCUAAAGCGAUUGUUAAUUAAACAUGCUUUUCCGUAAACAAUAUUCGGUGACGAAACCAAAUCUAAACGAAGAAAACUAGCAAAUAUAUAAAACAUAGCUCAAAAAUACUUUUAUAGCGCUCAAACAAAUAUAUGAAAAUUAGAAAAUGUGUUUAAGGAGCCAUAUAAUAAACAGUUUAUUAACCUCGUUUUGCUCGGUCUGUACGGGAAAGUAUUUGCCUUCGAUUUAUCCGCACAGACCUCGCUCCUUCGUCGCUCGGUCUGUACGAAAACCUCAGGCAAAUGAAAGCCCAGCUCAUGGUAAAAAGAACUGUACAGGAAGACUUGUGAGUUUGACGUGGUCACAGACAAAAUGACUUGCGUCUUGAUUUGGACUUGCAAAAUAUGACUUAUUAGCUACUCUGUAAUUCUGAUUUAAUUCCCUUCAGGUAUAUGAUAGCAUUUCGAAUAGUCCUAUAUCUCCAUUACUCCAUUAGAAGAUAAACUCAAAAGGUGAGAUGUUUAAAUUGGUUACAUUGUAAAAUCUUCAAGAUUUCAAAUUGUAAAAUCUUCAGGAUUUCCAAGGCCAAAAUUAUCCAAAAUUACACAGUUUGUAAGCUUGUAAGCUUUGUUACUGCAAAGUAUUGAUUUCAUUGAGCCCCAAAUAUUAAUUUGUUUUCCUUGAAUUGUCAAGUUCUGCCAAAAACACGCGUAGAUCACCAAAUAUGAGUUGUAACACAAGGUUGAAACCCGUAUUAACGAUGAUGUUUUAAAUACAAAUUUCUCCCGAUCAAAAACCAUUUCUGCCAAAUAAAUUUCUGUACACGCAGAGUCUUGCUUUAGUGAGGCGGUAAAACUGCCGACUUGUACUUGAUAGAGUGUCAAAGACAGCCAUAAACAGGUUAAAAUAACGGAGCUCAAACAGAGAUGUGCUAUGACGGCCAUGUUAUGUUUUAUACAAGUCCAGUCCAUGUUUUACAAGUCCAGUCCAUGUUUUACAAGUCCAGUCCAUGUUUUACCAGUCCAUAGUUUACAAGUCCAGUCGAAGGUCCUGUCCAUGUUUUACAACAUGCCUGCCUGCAAAGGUAGUAUAGCCAACCUGUAUGCAACUAUAUUAGUAGUUUUUAUAAUGUACCAUUCAGAAGUGAAAUUUUGGGGGGCUGAAAGAAAGCGGUUCCUGAGACAAACAAACACAUACACAAAUGCGGUUAAAAUUUUUUGCUUUGUUCAAAUUACCCCCUAUUGAAUGCUUGGAAGAUAAGCGAAGCGUAAGAUCGCUGUAUUCCACUGACACGAAUUCGGUAUGGCAGCGUUUAUAUUAAGCCAUAGAAUUUUAGCGAAGUCUUUCGUUACGCUGACAUUCUUGCUUAUGGGUGCUAUGUUAUUAUAUGUUGCUCGAGAAGAUGUUGAGCCUUUCAAUCCGACUGCAAUCUCUGUUCUUGACCCAAACUUCAAGGAGGGCCAUGGCAAAUCCACGAUUCUAAAUUCAGGGAAUAUACGUCGUUUAAACGGUGCGAAUGCCUCUGCCAAGAAGAACAGACAAAUUGAUAUGAAUGCGAAGAAUUCACAGAGUAACUCACAACACAGUAAUUCACACAUGAUAUGCAGCCUACAAAAAGUCAAAACGUUUCCCAAGCCGAAAACAUUUCUGCGACUCAACUACCACUUUGUGAAAAGCCAUACGAAGCUCUUGGUAAGUGAUGUUGGUAAAAUAUAUAAUUUGGUUGGUCUACCCUAACUUCAACCCAAAGUCUAAAGCUCCGGUACAGACAGCAACCUUUAGAUUGACGUUUACGGCAAACAAACUAUAUUGUUUCAAUGCCUCUACUGUAGAGUCUGGUAUAUCGGCGAACACUAUAAAACAGCAGAUCUAAAUAUAAAUGCUUUCAAGUAUAUCUCAAGUAUAUUGCCA